UACAGGGGGGGCAAGCGUUGUUCGGAAUUACUGGGCGUAAAGGGCUUGUAGGUGGCCAUUUAAGUGAGAGGUGAAAUCCCUCAGCUUAACUGGGGAACUGCGUCUGAUACUGCGUGGCUUGAGUGCAGGAGAGGAACGCGGAAUUCCAGGUGUAGCGGUGAAAUGCGUAGAUAUCUGGAGGAACACCGGUGGCGAAGGCGGCGUUCUGGACUGUAACUGACACUGAAAAGCGAAAGCCAGGGGAGCAAACGGG
rnacentral:rRNA from 1 species